rnacentral:rRNA from 1 species
GACAUAGGUGGCGAGCGUUAUUCGGAAUUACUAGGCGUAAAGCGAGUGUAGGCGGACGCUUAAGUCUGACGUUAAAUCUCCGGGCUUAACUCGGAGCUGUCGUCGGAUACUGAGCGCCUCGAAUGGGGUAGGGGGCAGGGGAAUUCCCGGUGUAGCGGUGAAAUGCGUAGAUAUCGUAAGGAAGACCAGUGGCGAAGGCGGGUCUCUGGACAGUUCCGUGACGCUGAGGCACGAAGGCCAGGGGAGCAAACGGG